UAYCUCUGGUUUUUCAGUGAGGACCURGACAAGGAUGAGAAGACUCCAGUAGACACGAAGGACCUGGUGCCUGCCCCCAAUAUUGACCACUUGCUCUCCAACAUCGGCAGGACCGCUCUGCURGGGGAGRCGUCAGGUGAGGGCCCGCCCACCACUGCCCAAAUGCAUCCAAUCACAACCUGCACUGAGCUACUGACAGCCUGUGCAGACCAAUCACGGUUCAUACUGUGGCCGAACUGGCCAAUCAGUGACUGUCAAUAAUCAUUGACAGCCACACAGUUGAACCAAUCCCAUACAAUCAGGAAAGAGGCAUGACAUACAUUUGAAAYGAUUUGCCCUUGCCGAGUUUCUCUCUUUCCUGAUUUGAUCACUAGACUGUGCUUCUUUCCUCUCACCUGGUUUUCUUUUCUUCUUUAUUACUCAUCUUUCACUUUCUCUUCUACAUCGCUGCAUCCCUCUCUUAGCUGAGCCGGUGGAGCAGCCACUGCGACUCAACCAACAGUGACUCAGCUAAAUCUAAGGGGUCGUGGGGGUCAAAGCGAGACCUCACUGCCAAGGACUUUCUGACCCUGUCCAUCAUGUCCGCCGUCACCGGACGCAAGCGCAGGAAUCGCCACAAUGGCCGCCUCGUGGGCAGCAGCACAGACGACGACUCGGAGCACGAGCCAAUCAAAGUCAGCCACCUGGGGGCGGAGGAGGGAGAAGAGGCGGGGCUGGUGGUGGCAGGAACAGACACUGCCCCACGAGCAGAGGGAGAGGAGGAGGAAGAUGAGGAGGAGGAAGAAGAAGAGUCUGUAGUAGAGAGAGUGAGAGAGAAGGUAGAGGAGGUGAUAGUUCCCAGCAUGCCAUGCGGUAGUGAGAAAGA